AGUGAACGCUGGCGGUAGGCCUAACACAUGCAAGUCGAACGGCAGCACAGUAAGAGCUUGCUCUUACGGGUGGCGAGUGUGGACGGGUGAGGAAUACAUCGGAAUCUACUUUUUCGUGGGGGAUAACGUAGGGAAACUUACGCUAAUACCGCAUACGACCUACGGGUGAAAGCAGGGGAUCUUCGGACCUUGCGCGAUUGAAUGAGCCGAUGUCGGAUUAGCUAGUUGGCGGGGUAAAGGCCCACCAAGGCGACGAUCCGUAGCUGGUCUGAGAGGAUGAUCAGCCACACUGGAACUGAGACACGGUCCAGACUCCUACGGGAGGCAGCAGUGGGGAAUAUUGGACAAUGGGCGCAAGCCUGAUCCAGCCAUACCGCGUGGGUGAAGAAGGCCUUCGGGUUGUAAAGCCCUUUUGUUGGGAAAGAAAAGCAGCAGGUUAAUACCCCGCUGUUCUGACGGUACCCAAAGAAUAAGCACCGGCUAACUUCGUG
rnacentral:rRNA from 1 species